UACGAAGGGUGCUAGCGUUGUUCGGAAUUACUGGGCGUAAAGGGCCCGUAGGCGGCCGAUUAAGUCCGACGUGAAAUCCCCAGGCUUAACCUGGGAACGGCGUCGGAUACUGAUUGGCUUGAAUUCGGGAGAGGGAUGCAGAAUUCCAGGUGUAGCGGUGAAAUGCGUAGAUAUCUGGAGGAAUACCGGUGGCGAAGGCGGCAUCCUGGACCGACAUUGACGCUGAACGGCGAAAGCUAGGGGAGCAAACGGG
rnacentral:rRNA from 1 species